GUUGUCAGCAAAUAGCCUUUGGAGUUUAAUUACAUGAUCAAGAUUGCUGCGGAGCAUGGAAGAUGAAAGAACGAAUAGGUGGGUUGGCUGCACAGCAGUCAUCAACAUAAAACCCUUCAGUGCGGGAACUGCGCUUGAGUGUGAGUUGGCAAACUACAUCUCUGCAUAUAGAUCUGUGCCUGUUUUUGACUGUCUUCAUUUGCAACAGAACACAUAAUGCUAUUUACAUGAGUGGCACCUAUGGAGGAGCAGAUAUUUGGAGUUACAACAGAACAAUGCAUCUAUGGCAACUGUAAUCACCAUUUGUGAUGUAGAAAUCUCUUUGCCUAAGCAAGCAGUGAAAAGGAAUGCCUAGGAAAUGUGCAGAAUUCCCAUUGCUAAAACUCUUAAGAUCAGUUCAAACAAACUUCUCUGAGGAGUGUCACAGUGCCUUCGAAGUUGUUCUUUCAUUCUUCACUGCUAGUGCACUCUGCAGUCUCAGAGGCUGGGUCAAUGAAGGGGCACACAGUAUAUCUUCAGAAGAGAUCAAUUGCAAUCCCCCAAAGACUGUGCUGCAUUACCAUUACAGAAGAUCACUAAUCAGCAACAACUUGCUAUAUGGCAUUGGACACAUGUAACUUAUCUCCCUGCAUUAUCCUCUUUUUUUUUAAAAAAAAAAAAAAAAUCACAAAUCUCCAAACAGCUAUGUGGAGGAUUGAAUGAGAUUAUGCUCUUACCCUGCUAAGCCUGGGGUAAACAGUGACGCAGACACAGAAGACUGGAAUUCUUCUGCCUCUCAGAAACAAGCAGUAUUUUUUCCCUGUUUUUUUCUGCUUGCUUCUCAAUGGGAAUGAAGCAAACAACAUUGAUUUGGUAUGUUUUAGGAAAUAUUUUGAUUUUAAAUAAAGAUUGUUUUGUAUGUUUUAAGUUUGAAUAA
rnacentral:lncRNA from 1 species